rnacentral:rRNA from 1 species
AAACGGCCGCGAGACUCAACCGUGCGAAGGUAGCGAAAUCACUUGUCUCCUAAAUAGAGACCUGUAUGAAAGGCCCAAUGAGAAAGAAACUGUCUCUUGAAGUUAGCCAAUGAAACUGAUCUGCCCGUGCAAAAGCAGGCAUAACAAAACAAGACAAAAAGACCCUGUGAAACUUAAAAUAAACGCCAAUAACAUGUCGAUAUUUUUAGGUUGGGGCAACCAAAGAGAAACAAAACCUCUAAAACACAUUAGACUAACAAGUCUAACCAAACCAAUAUGACCCAGUAAAACUGAUUAAUGAACCAAGCUACUCCAGGGAUAACAGCGCCAAAUUCUUGAAGAGUCCACAUCAACAAGAAUCCCUACGACCUCGAUGUUGGAUCAGGAUAACCCAACAGCGCAAAAG